GACAGAGGGUGCAAACGUUGCUCGGAAUUACUGGGCGUAAAGCGCGUGUAGGCGGACUGGUGUGUCGGAUGUGAAAUCCCCAGGCUCAACCUGGGAACUGCAUUCGAAACUGCCAGCCUUGAGUGGUGGAGAGGGAAGUGGAAUUCCUGGUGUAGGGGUGAAAUUCGUAGAUAUCAGGAGGAACACCAGUGGCGAAGGCGGCUUCCUGGACACCAACUGACGCUGAGACGCGAAAGCGUGGGGAGCAAACAGG
rnacentral:rRNA from 1 species